rnacentral:lncRNA from 10 species
GGAGAGUGAGGCACAAAAUCCUAGGAAACACUUACACGGCACUUAAUACAUGCCAGGCACUGUAUUAAACAUCAUCAACUAACUUAAUUCUCCAAACAUCGCUGUGAGGUUGCGGUACCCAGCCCCCAAUACAGCACCCAGCAAUCCAGCCUCUUGCUAUUUACACACUGGGUAGUCUCCUCCUACACUGAACGGGAUAGGCUUAUACUGCACACCAAAUGCAGUAUGGCAGAAGUGGACUUGGCACCGCAGCUCAGGCCUGUGAUCUCAGCACUCCAGCACUUAGGGAGGUCAAGGCAGGAGGAUCGCUUGAGGCCAGGAGUUCAAGACCAGUCUGAGCAACACAGCAAGACCUCAUCUCUACAAGAAUUAAAAUAAAGAAAUCAGCCAUGCAUGGUGGUGCCCACCUGCAGUCCUAGGUACUCAGGAGGCUGAGGUGGGAGGAUCACUUGAGCCCGAGAGGUCGAGGCUGCAGCAAGCUAUGAUCCCACCACUGCACUCCAAUCUGGGCAACAGAGCAAGACCCUGUCUCAGGUUAAAAAACAGAAUGUAGGCCAGGCGCGG